AUUGAACGCUGGCGGCAGGCCUAACACAUGCAAGUCGAGCGGACGAAGGGAGCUUGCGCCUGGAUUCAGCGGCGGACGGGUGAGUAAUGCCCAGGAAUCUGCCUGGCAGAUGGGGAUAACGUCCGGAAACGGGCGCUAAUACCGCAUACGUCCUGAGGGAGAAAGUGGGGGAUCUUCGGACCUCACGCGAUCAGAUGAGCCUAGGUCGGAUUAGCUAGUUGGUGGGGUAACGGCCUACCAAGGCGACGAUCCGUAACUGGUCUGAGAGGAUGAUCAGUCACACUGGAACUGAGACACGGUCCAGACUCCUACGGGAGGCAGCAGUGGGGAAUCUUGGACAAUGGGCGAAAGCCUGAUCCAGCCAUGCCGCGUGUGUGAAGAAGGUCUUCGGAUUGUAAAGCUCUUUAAGUUGGGAGGAAGGGCAGUAUGUUAAUACCUUGCUGUUUUGACGUUACCAACAGAAUAAGCACCGGCUAACUUCGUG
rnacentral:rRNA from 1 species